UACGUAGGUGGCAAGCGUUGUCCGGAUUUACUGGGCGUAAAGAGCGCGCAGGCGGUCGUUCAAGUCGCGUGUGAAAGCCCCCGGCUCAACUGGGGAGGGUCACGCGAUACUGAUCGACUCGAAGGCAGGAGAGGGAAGUGGAAUUUCCGGUGUAGCGGUGAAAUGCGUAGAUAUCGGAAGGAACAUCAGUGGCGAAAGCGACUUCCUGGACCAAUACUGACGCUCAUGUGCGAAAGCGUGGGGAGCAAACAGG
rnacentral:rRNA from 1 species